UACGUAGGGGGCAAGCGUUGUUCGGAAUUACUGGGCGUAAAGGGCGCGUAGGCGGCACGGCAAGUCAGGAGUGAAAGCCCUGGGCUCAACCCAGAAACUGCUUUUGAAACUGCCGAGCUAGAGUGCGGAAGGGGCAACUGGAAUUCCCAGUGUAGCGGUGAAAUGCGUAGAUAUUGGGAAGACCACCUGAGGCGAAGGCGGGUUGCUGGGCCGACACUGACGCUGAGUGCGCGAAAGCCAGGGGAGCGAACGGG
rnacentral:rRNA from 1 species